GGUGGUUCUCAGGUGAUGCACUCCAGAAUCGGGCUCCCUCCUCUCUGGUUCUGGGUGUGUCACCCGAGAACAGCA
rfam:Myotis brandtii contig244702, whole genome shotgun sequence.